rnacentral:rRNA from 1 species
GACGAACGCUGGCGGCGUGCUUAACACAUGCAAGUCGAACGGAGUGCCUAUGAUAGAGACUUCGGUCAAUGGAUUAGGUUACUUAGUGGCGGACUGGUGAGUAACGCGUGAGGAACCUGCCUUUCAGAGGGGGGACAACAGGUUGGAAACGACUGCUAAUACCGCAUGACACAUCGAUGGGGCAUCCCGUUGAUGUCAAAGAUUUAUCGCUGUAAGAUGGACUCGCGUCCGAUUAGCCAGUUGGCGGGGUAACGGCCCACCAAAGCGACGAUCGGUAGCCGGACUGAGAGGUUGAACGGGCCACAUUGGGACUGAGACACGGCCCAGACUCCUACGGGAGGCAGCAGUGGGGAAUAUUGCACAAUGGGGGGAAACCCUGAUGCAGCAACGCCGCGUGAAGGAGACGGUCUUCGGAUUGAAACUUUGUCUGGUGAGAAAAUGACGGUAGCCAAGGAGGAAGCCAACGGCUAACUACGUG